rnacentral:piRNA from 1 species
UGCAACUUCUCAGUCUCGGUUGUCAA